CCCUUAGAUGCUCUGGGCCGCACGCGCGCUACACUGGUCGAUGCAACGAGUUUCUUUCCUUGGCCGACAGGCCUGGGCAAUCUUUGAACAUCGAUCGUGAUCGGGAUAGAUUCUUGUAAUUUUUGAUCUUAAACGAGGAAUUCCUAGUAAACGCAAGUCAUCAGCUUGCAUUGAUUACGUCCCUGCCCUUUGUACACACCGCCCGUCGCUCCUACCGAUUGAAUGGUCCGGUGAAGCGUUCGGACCGUGGCCUUUGGACGGUUCGCCGUCUGUUGGCUGCGGGAAGUUCGUUAAACCUUAUCAUUUAGAGGAAGGAGAANUCGUANCA
rnacentral:rRNA from 1 species